rnacentral:lncRNA from 1 species
GGUCCUAUCCCUAAAUUGAGUGCCUGAGGGCAGCACACAGCUGCUUCAUCCUUUUACCCUCCGCAGCAGGUAGAGCAGGAGGACACUUAAAGAAGUUCACGGGAAACGGAGUUCAAAGGAAAACCAGACAAGUCGUUGAAUGCUGAGGACAACAUCAAUCUCUCCUCAGUGAGCUGACCUGCUUCUGGGCUGUCUCUCGCCAGGGUCCAUUUGGAGACAUUCUGCUGCUGGUAAUUGCCAGGUUGACUCCUAACAACCUUCAGAAACCUCCUUUUAAUUUGGAAUGAAUAACCUCAUUGAAAGAAGAACUAUCUAGUUCAUUAAAAAUGCUCAGUUGGACCAAAAUACCCAUAUAGGAAAUGCUCUAAAAAUGAGUCUGUAUGAGGAGAUUUGAAAAAGUAACUGGGGACAAUGGAAUGAAAAAUAAGUUUCUUUGGGUACAAAAAAUGUUUGAAAACCAUAUAUAGUUUUUUCACAAUAUGCAUUUUGCAUGAGCUCUUUGGGCACCCAUCAUAUUUAUACACACCAACACAACCGAGAUCACUAAGAUAUGAUUCAAACAUUAAUAAGAGUUCAUUCCAAAUACAUACAUCUGGAAAGAAAGCAGGAACUGGAAACAUUUGUUCAAAGGAUGAAAUCACCAACCUGAGAUCCAGAGCUCAAGGUUGUCAGAAGAGAGUCCGAAAAUGGGGUCUGGGCCCAUUUUUGAGGAAUGUUCUUGAGAUGUUUGAGGAGUGCAUCGUGGAUGAGGAGGAGGGAAGCAAGCAGGGGGUGACUCCAAGCGGGCCCAGCCUCAGCCGCCUCCGUGGGCAAGAGCCCAUGAUGGAAGUGGCACAGCGGAACUGCUCCCCCUGGGCUCGCAGGCUGCACCGUGUGCCUUUGCAUUCAGUCACUGAUGUGUCUAGGACGGAGAGGGGGUGUCAAGACUCCUCCCAGGGAUGCCAACACACUAGUAAUCAGGUCUCCAGUUGCCUAUGUGGAACUCCUAGACCACAAGAGCUCUGCAGCAAAUCGGGACAGCUACUCCUGCUGGCUUUCCUUGUCAGUGGUGACAGCGGGCUCUGGUCUGUGGACUGCCAUGGAGCCUGGCUUUGGAGCCUGGUCAGUCUCCAGAUUCCUUAUGGGGACUUCAACUGCUAUGAAACUGAAGCAGUUCCCUUCUAGAUCCUUCAGGAAAAAGCUGAACAAACAAAUGGGCCUCGCUUGGAAUGUCAACUGCCAAGAGCCCUGCUCCUGUCAACAGAGAUUGCAGAUUUUACUGGUAAGUCCCCGAGAUGCAGGUUCCACGCCCUGGAGAGCUGCAGCCAGCAAUACCAAAGCCGGAGCCUGGCUUUACUGUCUUGCUGCUUUUGUGGGGAGGCCCAGUGUCCAGUAA